rnacentral:rRNA from 1 species
UACGUAGGCAGCGAGCGUUGUUCGGAGUUACUGGGCGUAAAGCGUGCGUAGGCGGUGCCAUAAGUCUGUUGUGAAAUCUCCCGGCUUAACUGGGAGGGUGCGGUGGAAACUGUGGUGCUGGAGUGUGGGAGAGGUAGGCGGAAUUCCUGGUGUAGCGGUGAAAUGCGUAGAUAUCAGGAGGAACACCUGAGGUGAAGACGGGUUGCUGGGCUGACACUGACGCUGAGGCGCGAAAGCCAGGGGAGCAAACGGG